GAGGUUGUGGCUCAGUGGUAGAGUGCUUGCCUCACAUGUGUGAGGCACUGGGUUCAAUUCUCAGCACCACA
rnacentral:tRNA from 2 species